CACGUGCUCAGGUGGAGGAGAUGGAUUGGUGAGCGCGUCGCGUUGUCUCUCCCACAGCGACCCGCAGGGUGGAGUUGGGAAAGAAAAGACUCUUUUCACAGAAAAGCACCAGAAACCAAACAGGGAACAGAACUGCCACAUGGUGUGUAUCAGAGCUCCGAAGAGAGGCAGACUUCCAGGAAUGAGAACUUCUGACUUUCGUGCUCAGGACAGUGGAUGCUUUGAGGGCUGCGGGUAUCGUUUUCCAAGCCACAUCCUGUACGGUGCUCCUUGGAAAGGGGCUUCCAAAGUCAGGGAAGUCUGGAAACGCGGUGCUCUCCGUGCACUCCUCCCCACUCAAAGGGGGCAAAAAACAUGGGUAUUUUAAAUGCUCUGAGAAGUUCCUGUCUGAAGAAUCCUGCUUUGUUGAACCUUGCGUUCUAAAAUGUCUCACCGUGGAAACACUUUUAAACUGAUUUCACAUGAAUUUUCUUUAUUUGUUUCACCCAUUCGCAUCAUGGGGGGCAAAGGAAACACCGAGAUGGCACAAAUCACACGUGCAAACCUCUUCAUCUCUGUCAACUGUCUUCUCAUCUGAGAAACGAGGGCAAUUAACACCCACCUUGCAGGUGGCUCUGAAGAUUAGAUGCAGUGUACACAAAACACCCGCCCCAUGGCCUGGCCCACGAUGGGCCAGCCGGCAGUGAGCUGAAGCUGCUGUGACUUACACAGGCACACAGGUACAGGAAAUGAUACAGAAGGAUGCGGAUACCAAAGGUGAGAAAUGAGGCAGGGGCUUGGCCAAAGAGGGUGAGACCAGCACAGGCUGACUGGGGCUGAGCCCAGGGGUCCUUAAAUCUCCUAGACCAACCCAGGGAUUGUUCCCAGCACCAGGGGCAGAGCGGGGCCUGCAGGAGAGGGAUGCGUGGCCUUGGCAAGGGCUUGGCAGACCACUGGGCA